CCUACGGGUGGCAGCAGUGGGGAAUAUUGGGCAAUGGGCGCAAGCCUGACCCAGCAACGCCGCGUGAAGGAAGAAGGCUUUCGGGUUGUAAACUUCUUUUGUCAGGGAAGAGUAGAAGACGGUACCUGACGAAUAAGCCACGGCUAACUACGUGCCAGCAGCCGCGGUAAUACGUAGGUGGCAAGCGUUGUCCGGAUUUACUGGGUGUAAAGGGCGUGUAGCCGGGUUGACAAGUCAGAUGUGAAAUCGUGCGGCUUAACCGCAGAACUGCAUUUGAAACUGUUGAUCUUGAGUACUGGAGAGGCAGGCGGAAUUCCUAGUGUAGCGGUGAAAUGCGUAGAUAGUAGGAAGAACACCAGUGGCGAAGGCGGUCUGCUGGACAGCAACUGACGGUGAGGCGCGAAAGCGUGGGGAGCAAACAGGAUUAGAUACCCUAGUAGUC
rnacentral:rRNA from 1 species